UCCUAAAAAAAACAUUUGCGAAAUUGUUCUCAUCAUAUGAAGGCGAGGCAAAGAUGUUGAUGACUCCUUUGGCAUCUAAGCUACUGGCUUUCCUUGUCUGCCUUUGUGGUUUUGAAUCUUGGCUCCCCCACCAUCCUGUGUUCCUUCUUCCCACAUGGUCUGAAGAUCAAAAACAAAUUCCACCCAACUCCCUGUUCUCUCUCAUCUCUGCCACUGCCACCCUGAUGUCUGGUUCUCUUGGUCUUCACCAUACAAAGCCCCUUCUUUCAUCUGGGCUGCUUAGCUUAGGGUGUUUAGACUAUCUAACAGAACAGUCCCAAAAUUACAUUAGAAGAGUUACUGACCUGAACCUUUUCCUCAUGGUAGUUAUUCUGUUUAGAGGAAGGUGGUCCAAAGGAGCAUUUCCACACCUAAGAUGUGACAAAUGUAUUAGAAUGAGCAAAGACCCAGGCAAGGUUAUGCAAUCAAGUAGAUGAGCCUUAAUUGAUGCUCACACAUUUAUUCAGAUGAGACCUGCAGCCAGUUUUCUUCAAAAGUACAGAAGCAGACCUGCAUGCCUUUGAAUUUUGUUUGCCACUGAAAAAAGGAAACUGUGACCCACUUUACAAUACACACUGCAAUUGUUUCAGGGUCCAGGCUAGAAGCUGGAGUCCUACAGAAAGAUUCUAGGAGAAACCUGGCCACGCUCAGUCCUGCAGAUCACUUUGGUGGAACUCCAUGGCUUUCAGGAAAGAAGGGAAGAGGGUGAUGACAGCAAUAAUGUCCCUUCAGGCCUGAGCAGAGACAUCAACUCAAAACAGAUGUUGCCAGUUGAUGAACAGUAGCAUCUUUUCAGGCUUCUAGCAUCACAGCUGUGGAAACUCUCUCCUCCCAUACACUGUUCUGGUACUAGAGAUAACCGGACAGCUGGAAGCCUGCUGAUGGCAGAGAAGAGAGCGGGGACGAGAGAUGAACAGCACCAGCCUGUGACCUGAGGCAGGCAGUGAAGAGGAUUCCAUCUGUGCCUUCAAUAACUCCAGAGGCUCAACCUCAACAGGAGGAAAGAACAGUGAGGCUCACAUCCCAGAAGGGCCAUUUCUUGGAUAACAGAACAAAAGGUCUCCGCCAGCUCUGAGGGCUCAAAGAGGAGGAGAGGCAGGUCUCCCCACAACACAGGUCUUUGAAGAGUCACCACACUGUCUUCCACAAUGGCUGGACUAACUUACACUCCCACCAACAGUGUAGAAGAGUUCCUUUUUCUCCACAUUCUUGCCAGCAUCAUUAUUUUUUUACUUUUAUUUAUUCAUUUACUUAUUUAAAGACAGAGUCUCAUUCUGUUGCCAGGCUGGAGCGCAGUGGCACGAUCUUGGCUCACUGCAACCUCUGCUUCCCAGGUUCAAGCAAUUCUCCUGCCUCAGCCUCCCAAGUAGCUGGGACUACAGGUACAUGCCACCAUGCCCAGCUAAUUUUUGUAAUUUUAGUAGAGACAGGGUUUCACCAUGUUGGCCAGGGUGGUCUUGAAUUCCUGACCUCAGGUGAUGUGCCCACCUCGGACACCCAAAGUGCUGGGAUUACAGGUGUGAGCCACCACACUAGGCCUUGGUUGCUUUACCUAACACUGACUCCCCAACACCUCGAAGAGCAUGUGGCACAGAUGGGCCCUUACCAUAAAUUUUUUGAAUAACCAAAUAAAUAAAUG